rnacentral:rRNA from 1 species
GAUGAACGCUGGCGGCGUGCCUAAUACAUGCAAGUCGAGCGAACAGACGAGGAGCUUGCUCCUCUGACGUUAGCGGCGGACGGGUGAGUAACACGUGGAUAACCUACCUAUAAGACUGGGAUAACUUCGGGAAACCGGAGCUAAUACCGGAUAAUAUAUUGAACCGCAUGGUUCCAUAGUGAAAGACGGUUUUGCUGUCACUUAUAGAUGGAUCCGCGCCGCAUUAGCUAGUUGGUAAGGUAACGGCUUACCAAGGCAACGAUGCGUAGCCGACCUGAGAGGGUGAACGGCCACACUGGAACUGAGACACGUUACAGACUCCUACAGGAGGCAGCAGUAGGGAAUCUUCCGCAAUGGGCGAAAGCCGGACGUAGCAACGCCGCGUGAGUGAUGAAGGUCUUCGGAUCGUAAAGCUCUGUUAUUAGGGAAGAACAAAUGUGUAAGUAACUAUGCACGUCUUGACGGUACCGAAACAAAAAGCCACGGCUAACUACGUG